UUACAGCCAUAUCACAUUGAAACACCGGUUCUCGUAUGAUCACCGAAGUUAAGCAAUGUCAAGCCUGGUCAGUAUCUAGAUGGGUGACUGCUUGGGAAUACCAGGUUCUGCAA